AAAUUGCCAUUGAUACUGCACUUCUUGAGUUCGGCUGAGGUAGGCGGAAUGAGUAAUGUAGCGGUGAAAUGCUUAGAUAUUACUCAGAACACCGAUUGCGUAGGCAGCUUACCAAACCGACACUGACGCUGAGGCACGAAAGCGUGGGGAGCGAACAGGAUUAGAUACCCUGGUAGUCCACGCCGUAAACUUUGAUUACUCGUUGUUGGCAAUACACAGUCAGCGACUGAGCGAAAGCAUUAAGUAAUCCACCUGGGGAGUACGUCAGCAAUGAUGAAACUCAAAGGAAUUGACGGGGGCCCGCACAAGCGGAGGAACAUGUGGUUUAAUUCGAUGAUACGCGAGGAACCUUACCUGGGCUUAAAUGUAGAGUGCAUAGAGUGGAAACAC
rnacentral:rRNA from 1 species